UACGUAGGGUGCGAGCGUUGUCCGGAAUUACUGGGCGUAAAGAGCUCGUAGGUGGUUUGUCGCGUUGUUCGUGAAAACUCACAGCUCAACUGUGGGCGUGCGGGCGAUACGGGCAGACUGGAGUACUGCAGGGGAGACUGGAAUUCCUGGUGUAGCGGUGGAAUGCGCAGAUAUCAGGAGGAACACCGGUGGCGAAGGCGGGUCUCUGGGCAGUAACUGACGCUGAGGAGCGAAAGCGUGGGGAGCAAACGGG
rnacentral:rRNA from 1 species